AUGCCCCUGAACUUCACCAAGCACUUCUUCAUGGUGCCGACGGAGUUCAAGCUCAGCAACAACAUCGGCUGCUCUUGGAAGGUGACGGUGAAGGUGAUGAAUGGCAGGGUAACCGUGGAUCAGGGUUGGGCCACAUACGCAGCCGUUCAUCAGAUCAAGAUUGGCUACAUGGUGACGUUCAAGCUCCUCACUCCCGACACCCUCAAGGUCAUCAUCUUCGACAAGGAUGGCAUUGAGGUCGUCAACAAGUGCUGGAAGCACGACGAAGCCUUCACCACCAAGGAGUAG
rnacentral:rRNA from 1 species